AUACAAAAUUUCAGUUCUGAUUCGAUUCAUCACAUCUAUUCAUGGAGCAUUGGGAUCGUAUUCAAGACUCCCUGAUACUCUAUUGAAGCCGUCAAGUUGGGGUCUCUGCCACUAGCAAUGGGCCUGAGCCAGACAAAGAAAUGUAGAAGCUUCAGGAUUUUGACUGGUACCGUAAAACUGGUGCCAGGGUUGGUGGUGGGUUUUUAUCAUUUCUUCACAAGGAGGUUGAGAAAAAUCAAAUAUCCAUUUGCUCGUACUUUGGCUCGGCGAAUAGAGAGGCUCCCUGAACAAGUGGACGAGUAUAUUUGAUGAGGUCGUCCAAUGAAGGUGAGUUCAUCAGUCCAAUCACCUACCAUUGAUGAAAAUGAAAUGACUCCACCUUCACCUACGACCUAUGGUGCGCUUACAAAGCCUCGCCAUUGAUGAUUUGAAGGUAUAUAUUGUAUUGACUCGGUUCGUGAACUCUGUGAUAGCAUAUAGAAUAAGAUUAUACGAGUUUUUUAUUUGCUUUGUUAAUUAUGGCUAUUAUCAGCGUCAAUGUUUGUAAAAGUGUAAUUACCUUCUUCUUCUUUCCUUUCCUUUUUUUUUUUUGUUUUUUGGAAAGACGUUGCUAAAGAACUCAUGUUCUCCGUUCCAAGAAGUCCUUUUUCUUUUCUUAAUUUUUCUCUUGGUCUUAUUUUUUGCGAAUUCAGAACAUUGUGGCCUUUUGUAAUAUUAUCACAUUUUCUUGGUUUGCGAAAUAUUUUUUAUGAAAAUAAAACGAGGAUCUUUAUGUUUUAUUCUCUA